AGCGAACGCUGGCGGCAGGCCUAACACAUGCAAGUCGAACGAACUCUUCGGAGUUAGUGGCGGACGGGGGUGUAACACGUGGGAACGUGCCUUUAGGUUCGGAAUAACUCAGGGAAACGUGUGCUAAUACCGAAUGGGCCCUUCGGGGGAAAGAUUUAUCGCCUUUAGAGCGGCCCGCGUCUGAUUAGCUCGUUGGUGCGGUAAAGGCUCACCAAGGCGUCGAUCAGUAGCUGGUCUGAGAGGAUGAUCAGCCACAUUGGGACUGAGACACGGCCCAAACUCCUACGGGAGGCAGCAGUGGGGAAUCUUGCGCAAUGGGCGAAAGCCUGACGCAGCCAUGCCGCGUGAAUGAUGAAGGUCUUAGGAUUGUAAAAUUCUUUCACCGGGGACGAUAAUGACGGUACCCGGAGAAGAAGCCCCGGCUAACUUCGUG
rnacentral:rRNA from 1 species